AAAGCGCAGAAAGGGUAGCACUACAUGAGUUGCAGCAUUCAGGUUUGUCCAUUACUGCAUUACUGUUGAAACUACCAUGGAAGAGUUAAAAAGGUUUGAAGAGUUUGUGGGGUGCCCUAGCUUAAUGAAAUAACUACUUUUGGUGUGAAGGAUAUGAGUACAUAGGCAAGGUGGAAGCAUAUUUAGAAGUCACUGCUCUGGUAGGGUGGUAAUAGAGUGAAUGAGAUUUUACAAGCUGGGCUGCGCAUGUUAUCUGAGUUUAUAUAAUCAAAUAAAGGAUAAAUCUUGUU
rnacentral:misc_RNA from 1 species